rnacentral:rRNA from 2 species
AGUGGCGAACUGGUGAGUAACACGUGGGAAACCUGCCCAGAAGCGGGGGAUAACACCUGGAAACAGAUGCUAAUACCGCAUAACAACUUGGACCGCAUGGUCCGAGCUUGAAAGAUGGCUUCGGCUAUCACUUUUGGAUGGUCCCGCGGCGUAUUAGCUAGAUGGUGGGGUAACGGCUCACCAUGGCAAUGAUACGUAGCCGACCUGAGAGGGUAAUCGGCCACAUUGGGACUGAGACACGGCCCAAACUCCUACGGGAGGCAGCAGUAGGGAAUCUUCCACAAUGGACGAAAGUCUGAUGGAGCAACGCCGCGUGAGUGAAGAAGGGUUUCGGCUCGUAAAACUCUGUUGUUAAAGAAGAACAUAUCUGAGAGUAACUGUUCAGGUAUUGACGGUAUUUAACCAGAAAGCCACGGCUAACUACGUGCCAGCAGCCGCGGUAAUACGUAGGUGGCAAGCGUUGUCCGGAUUUAUUGGGCGUAAAGCGAGCGCAGGCGGUUUUUUAAGUCUGAUGUGAAAGCCUUCGGCUCAACCGAAGAAGUGCAUCGGAAACUGGGAAACUUGAGUGCAGAAGAGGACAGUGGAACUCCAUGUGUAGCGGUGAAAUGCGUAGAUAUAUGGAAGAACACCAGUGGCGAAGGCGGCUGUCUGGUCUGUAACUGACGCUGACGCUGAGGCUCGAAAGUAUGGGUAGCAAACGGAUUAGAUACCUGGUAGUCCAUAGUCCAUACCGUAAACGAUGAAUGCUAAGUGUUGGAGGGUUUCCGCCCUUCAGUGCUGCAGCUAACGCAUUAAGCAUUCCGCCUGGGGAGUACGGCCGCAAGGCUGAAACUCAAAGGAAUUGACGGGGGCCCGCACAAGCGGUGGAGCAUGUGGUUUAAUUCGAAGCUACGCGAAGAACCUUACCAGGUCUUGACAUACUAUGCAAAUCUAAGAGAUUAGACGUUCCCUUCGGGGACAUGGAUACAGGUGGUGCAUGGUUGUCGUCAGCUCGUGUCGUGAGAUGUUGGGUUAAGUCCCGCAACGAGCGCAACCCUUAUUAUCAGUUGCCAGCAUUAAGUUGGGCACUCUGGUGAGACUGCCGGUGACAAACCGGAGGAAGGUGGGGAUGACGUCAAAUCAUCAUGCCCCUUAUGACCUGGGCUACACACGUGCUACAAUGGAUGGUACAACGAGUUGCGAACUCGCGAGAGUAAGCUAAUCUCUUAAAGCCAUUCUCAGUUCGGAUUGUAGGCUGCAACUCGCCUACAUGAAGUCGGAAUCGCUAGUAAUCGCGGAUCAGCAUGCCGCGGUGAAUACGUUCCCGGGCCUUGUACACACCGCCCGUCACACCAUGAGAGUUUGUAACACCCAAAGUCGGUGGGGUAACCUUU